UUUCUUGUUGUUAAUUUUGUUUUAUCCAAAAAGAAAGAAAAUAUAAAGUUGGAGGAGGGUCACAGUUUACAACAACAAUUUUAUCCUAUCUCUUGUCAUUUCCAUACUGCACAUCCAAACACAACUGUCCAAUUUGCUUCAACUCUUGCCAAAUCUGUCCAAGGAGAAACCAAUGAUAUGUUGCAAUAUGCCGAAAGAAUCAGUCCAAAAAUUCAGCCUUGCUGCUGUGUUACUGCUGCCCUAUUUCCACAACCAAGAACCUGCAAGAUAACAGUCCAAAAACCUGUGAACACCAGUCCAAAAUUCUGCCAUAUGCACUGUUGA